CCUACGGGAGGCAGCAGUGAGGAAUAUUGGUCAAUGGGCGGAAGCCUGAACCAGCCAAGUAGCGUGCAGGAUGACGGCCCUACGGGUUGUAAACUGCUUUUAUACGGGAAUAACGCGCCUUACGUGUAGGGCUUUGCAUGUACCGUAUGAAUAAGGACCGGCUAAUUCCGUUCCAGCAGCCGCGGUAAUACGGAGGGUCCGGGGGUUAUCCGGAUGUAUUGGGUUUAAAGGGAGCGUAGGCGGACUGUCAAGCGUGCUGUGAAAGGUCCGGGCUCAACCCGGGCCUUGCAGCGCGAACUGGCGUGCUUGAGUCCGCGGAGGGCAGGCGGAAUUCGUCGUGUAGCGGUGAAAUGCUUAGAUAUGACGAAGAACCCCGAUUGCGAAGGCAGCUUGCUGCAGCGGAACUGACGCUGAUGCUCGAAAGCGCGGGUAUCGAACAGGAUUAGAUACCCCUGUAGUC
rnacentral:rRNA from 1 species